UAUGAUAGGAAUUGUAAUAGUCUUAAAGAGAUUUGAGUUUACUGUAGACUCAAGAGCACUAAAAAUAACAAGACUUAAUCAUCAUGUCAUUUUUAUAAAUCAGUAAAUGUUACUUAUCAUUACCAGCGGAUGGCGGCAGAACACAACGCAGUACUGCGCGACAGAUUACGAUAUUUUUCACAUCUACUCUUCAGAUUCACAGCUGAUAUCUGCCAAACUCCGAUUUUAAAGAUGUAAAGAAGACCUCACUGUACCCAGAGAUCUGCUCUUAUAAAGACACUUGCCAUCAGAACUUUGUCUGGAUGCCACUUGCUAGUCACCACAAUGACGCAAUGGAGUCUAGAACUCUUCGCACAGUGCCAAGACUUCAAGAAGAAACAGACAGAUGUACAAAACCCUGGACUGUUAGCUACAGACACCAUCAGCCUGCUGCAGGAGAAAGUCAUCCAUCCAUCCAUCCAUUUUCUACCGCUUAUCCGAACUACCUCGGGUCACGGGGAGCCUGCGCCUAUCUCAGGAGUCAUCGGGCAUCAAGGCAGGAUACACCCUGGAUGGAGUGCCAACCCAUCGCAGGGCACACACACUCACUCAUUCACUCACGCACUUUUUUUGAAGUCAUAUGAGUUCAAAUACAAAUUCUUUAUUGUCAUAUGCACAGUUCUCGGUAUAAUGACAUUCUUAUUUAGCUUUCCCCUGCGCUUAAUUCUUAGUAUUUAAAGGAACAGCUCAGCCAAAAAUAAAAAGUCAGCCAUUACUCCCCAUUAUGUGGUUAAAAAUAUGUAAUGUAGAUGAAUCUCUCUUCAGUGGAACACAAAAGAAGAUAUUUUGAGGAAUGUCUGAGUGGUUUUCUGUACACACAAUGGAAUUCAAUGGGGGUUCAGUGUUGUUUGAUGAUCAACAUUCUUCAAAAUAUCUUUCGUGUUCUGAGGAAGAAAGAAACCGGUUUGGACAUGACAUAAUGGUGAAUAAUGAUAAAAGCAUUUUACACUUUAAGUAUCACAUCUUUGAAUAUUUAGGGCAGUUUUGGUGUAGAAAAUCUGAUUAAACAUUAACUUAAUUAAGACACAUUCACCGCAUGGUUAAAAAUUGUCAAUUUUAAUGACAAUUAUUUUGAUACAAGAAAAUACUGUACAAAAAUCACCCAUAUGUAGCUAUAUUUUACAUUACAAUAUUAUGGAUUGCAACAAUUCACACAUCAAAUUGUUUUUUUAAAAACCCAUACUGAAAAAGAAGUUUCCCCUUAGCUUCUGCUAUGUGGUGUAAUAGAGGACGUCCUGUAAGGGGGACUUUUAUCUGGCCCACUUCCUGUGUGUAAAGGUUGUUGCAGGUGAUGGUUAAUCUGAGGGAUGCGUGGUGAGUUUUUCUUUAUUCAUUUUGCUAAAUCGCAUUUGAUUCAGUGGUGUUGCUCUGAAUAUGUUUACCAAACUUUACGAUAAAAGGGGUCUAAUUUAGAAUUCCUAAAUUUCCUGUGGCAGCUGUGUGGUCAGUUUUUGAAAAUUAAAAUGUCUUCAAGCUUCCAUUUUACUGGUUAUAGCACAACAUUACAUCAAUAUAUUUUAUUAAACAUUUUUUUUAUAAAGGUCAAUACAACUUCAAAUCAAUACAAAAUCAAGUUUUCUUAAGGUUUCACGCCAUAACAUUAUAAAAAAUAGGUUUCAAUAGCAAUAAAAAUGAUUUUAUUCAUCUUUGAUUUCAUAAUCUGGUCUUGAAACUAUAAACCACAUAGACGUAGCCCUGGUUCUCAUAAUUGAAACACUUGGUUUACAUUUGAGUUUUGGCUCACAUUCAACACCACUGUUUAUUUUCAAUGUGAUAAUUACUUCAUCGACAGGUUGGUAUUGUAUCUUCGCCAUUGCAUAAAGUUCACAAGGAAUCCAACAGCCGCAUAGCCACCGCACACAUUGACUCAGUAUGUGAAAUACAGUAAACGCUGCAAUCGUUUGAGCAUCUUUCCCUAUUUCUGUUAUAACGUUACGACUGGAUCUUGGGCUGGGAAGCAGUUUAACAGAAGGUCACGUCCAAAGUGCGCACUGUAGUUGAAUUAUAACAAGGUCAAACGCUCCAGUGUGAUCACGAGCUGUUGGUGCUCUAAUGUUCAUUUAGUUGACUGUUUAUACUGUUUAAACGCACCCAGUUCCAUUUUAAACAAAAGGGCAUAAAUUCCCUAAUCUGUGUUUUAAUUAAGAAACAAACAAAUGUCAUGUCAAUAUUUUGGAGAAACUUCCAGAGAAUGUAUAUCUUAAACAAUAGUCUACUUUUUAAAGUAUGAGUGUAUUUUUUACCCCAUUGAAAAAUGUUUUUUCAUAUUUUAUGCUUACAUCUUACUAAAUGUAGUUCUAUAAAACACAGUUUUGGACUGAAUUUAACCUCUGGUUCUGCAGAAUGCUGUAGGUCUGUCAUAACCGGGGCCAUCAGGGUCAACAGUUCAGCCCUAGAGGGGCCACCAUCUGCUCUCAUUCAGUUAGACCGUUUAUCCCACUGUGCUCCUGAUGUUUAGGAAUAUUUCACACCCAAACAUUUUAUAACUGCUCGCCAGCGAUUUAUUGAAAUAAAAAAGAUUAAUUAUUUAAAAUAAACUUUCUGGAGUUUUGUCGAAGGGUAAUUCCGGUCCCUCUUAUCACCCGUUUGGGCUUUAUUUUGCACAAUAAUACCUCUAACUUCUGUCUCAAAAUGUGUGUGCUGAGCGUAGUCGUGUUAUCCAGGUUGGGGGUUAUCGAGUGUGUUGCGUUCAGUCUCUGGGGUUACGGAGAAGUAGCAUCCCUGGUUCCCCAGACUCCUGGAGCAAUGGAGGGAUGUUGUUUUUCUUAUUUUCCAGCGGUUUGGACCCUAUUGGGACAUCUAAAUCUGUUGGACGCUCCUCAAAGUGCCAGUGCAUUGAUUUCAGCCAAGGCGACUUUCCAGCUCGCCGGCUACGGACAACACACUCCCUGUACGCACACACACACAUGAAUGUCUUCGCACAUUUCACUGGAACUUGUUUGUGGUCAUGUCAGAAGCUUUAGUGCUGCAGUGUGUCUCAUGGGACAGCCACAGGGGGGCGCUGGUACUGAACUACGCCCUUCGACCCACCGUUCUGAUCCAGAAUGAUGAGAUAGUUUGGACUUUUCAGAAUCUAUGUGGCUGGGUCUACUGUAUAGCAGUGGGUCUCAGCUUCUGGGUCGUGCCCCAAAAAUGGGGUCGUGGUCAGCAGGGGAAACAAAAGAAUAGAAUAAAACUAAGCGUGUAAUCUUGCAGCGCAAAACUAUAGUCAUAAAUUGUAUCAUUUUGUUGUUGCCUCUGUGUUAAAUCAAACAAUUCAUUAGUCGCUUGGUAGCAUGUUAAAUUUAACACAUGGUUUGACCAUGAACACUAUUUAAACCAUUGGUUUGAUAUAGUUUUAAUUAAGUAGCCAUAGUUUUAGGGAUUUAUCUGUAGAAAAAACAUAGUAGCCACAAAUUUAUUGUGGUCUCGCAAAAAAACCCAGAGUAGAUAAACUAUGGAUAUUCACACUGAAAAAAUUAGGUUACUAUGUUUUUACCAUAAUAAAAUCGUGGUAUAUUACCAAAGGGUCACUCCCUCCUUCUUUAAAAACUAAGAGAGAUGUUAAGAAAACUAAAGAAAUAUAGAGAUAUAAAUAGUUUUUAAAAGACACACAAUGAGGCCGGAACACAACCCAAAUCAUCAAAUCCACUUUAUUAAAUCCACUUUAAUAUUAAAACACUUCAAUGUUUGAUUUUAAAGAUGCUUUUGCAUCUUACAUGUCGGGUCUCAUUUGAUGUCCAGUGUAUGUGUCCAGUAUGUGUGUCAUGCAAAAUGUAUGUGCGUUAGUGUUUGGAUUGUGUGUUCAGGUUGGUCUCCAGCGGUGCAACCCGGACCCUCCCUUGACGGUGAGGGGUGUCUAAAAUCAAUUCAGUGUUAAGUGCAGGUCUGAGCAGGGGACAGAUUCAGGCCCCACACUGUUAUUCAUGCACCACUGACGCAGAUACUACAACCACACACACACACAAAUACAACUGGACAAUCUGUGUGAUCACGACCCGACAAAAUACACCUGACCUCAGAUCUGACUAAAUCAGAGAGCCUUAAUUUAAUCAUCAAGAAUAAAUCAUCAAGAUCAUGCAGUUUGAUCUCCUUCUGUAUGAUUCAACACGUUCUUGGAUUUAUUGUAAAUAAUUUGCUCGUUAAAAUAUGUUCAUUAGUAAUUUGUAUUUACGUUACUUCCUAAAACCAUUUUCAUGUCAGUUAAUGCUGAUGUAGUGAAGGUUUUGACAGGGGUUUGUUGUUUUAUAAAAGAAAGGUCCCCUUCAGAAAAUGGUGAACUUGACCUUUGGCCUUCAUGUCCCUAUCAAAAACUCUUCUCAUAAGCAUGUGCUGGUGUUUCGAGAUGACAGGAAAUGUCCCACAAUACAUCACAAAGCAUUGUAUUAAGCUCUUCCUUCAUUCUGGUGCAAAAGGCCAUUUUUCUCUGAAAAAUUCUGUCAUCGACCGCCUUGUGUCUUGUCAAAACUUUCGUUUCGUCUGCAGAACAUAAGAUACAUAUUUUAAAGAGCGUUGAUAACCGAACAACAUUGAACCCCAUUAACUUCCGUUGUAUGAAAACAAAACCGCUGAGAUAUUUCUAAAAAUAUCUUCUUUUGUGUUUGAAUAGACAAAGAAAGAUAACUCCGUCACACGUGCCAUUUCAUGUUGACUCAGUUGAAAUCAUAUGAAUAAGCCUAAUGAUAAUGUGCAUAUAGUGAAUUUGAUACCAAUUUUUUUUUAAACUGUGUUUUAAUUUUUUCCCUAGAAUCCUCCGAUGCUUGGAUCUUAUCCGCACGGCUUCAAACAGCCCCAGUGCAUGUCAGAGUAGUCUUGAGUGAAUGUUUGGAAAUCCCUUCAGGUGUCUGAUAGCUCAGGAUGAGAGCGUCAUGUCUCUGUCUGCUCGUUCACAUGCAGAGCGGAGCUAAACCAACCAUCAGACAUCCUCCAGGACGAUUCAUGAGGAAUUCCCUCACAUAACACCAAGACACAGGGAUCAGACUUUCCUUUAGAGGUGAAAAAAUCAAAAGCAAAACACGUCUGACACUGUAUGUCAGGAGGUUGCAUCAUGUAUUAUUUUCAAUCUGACCAAUGUUUUAGAAAACCUUUUUGGGAAAGGCAUGAAUUAUUAAAUCAGGAUGUAAAACUAUAUAAAAGAGUAAUUUGUCUGCUUUGAUGAAGUUGAGGAAGUGAUCACUGUGAUACCAGCUUGCGUCAGCCAUUUUCAAUUUUGUCAUCAAUUUGGAGAAAUGGUCAAACGUGACAUACCGAAUGAUAAACAUGACUUUUACAGAUCUAUCAGAGGUCUAAAUGUAAUGAUUAUUUAGUUAUUUGAUUAAAUGAAUGGUGUUUACCACCCUGAGACUAUUUCUAACUGAUUUUUGGGUUCUUAUUUACAGCUUAAUUUCAAGAGAUAUGCAGAUAAAUUAAGUAUAAACUUCACGUUUUUGUCCCAUGCACUUGCCAUCACCAAAUUUUAAAACUGAAUAUAUUUACAUGAGCAGCUCACUUUUAAUCUGAUCUGAGAUCUGUGUGUUUCUUCAGUCAGGGCUUGUUCCGUUGUGACAGAUCAGUUCUAGUUCCUUUGAGAAGGCCUGACAUCAACAGUAAUAUAUCUGAAACUGCUCGUGAACGCGCCGCUUCUCUGCCAUCAACAGCCGCCCGCCGCGCGCGUCCGCGCUCUCCAAGACGCAGAUGCUCGUCACCGGCAGGAGUUCGUACACGCUGCGCGGGGCGGGUCGCGGUGAUCCGGUCUGGGAUUCGCUGACACGGGUGGUGAAGGAGCACGGAACAUUUUUAGCCCCGCUACCCCCAUCAGUACCCCCGCCCGGGGCAGAUGAUCUCCGCGCCAUCAGGAGCUCAGCAUCAUUAGAAGGUGUUAAUUGGAGUUAGUCGGAGUCUUCGCUUUCUGUCAAGAAGUCUGACAACAGAAUUCAUUAGACUUAAAAAUACCGCGGCAUCGAAAUUAAUUCAAGAGGGAUUGUGAGCUGACAGACAGAGCCAAGCUCCGAAAGGGGCCGAUUCUCAUUACGGAUGCCAAAUCCGUGGCCCAUCUCUCGUGCGUCUUGCUCAGGAAGUUUAUCAUAUUUUAUUUGUAAUUUCACACUCAAAUUGUGCUUCUUCCGAACAAGACAGCAGGAAGGAAAUCAUUUGCCACCUGAUUAAGAAAAUUUCACGUGUCAACAUUUUGGUCUUCGCUUUUAAAAUGGAGCGUGUCAUAAUGAUCCCCUAACUGUAUUCAUCUACAUAAAGAAGCUGAUAUUAAAAUAGAUUUUGUGAUCCAGUUUAACGUCCUUUUACAGCCCGAUUUUCUUUCAGUAUCCCAGAUGCAUAGGUUUUAUAAAAUAAUAAAAUAAAAACAAACCAU